rnacentral:lncRNA from 1 species
UGUUAAUAUCUGUUUAACACAGUCUAAGUGUGUUACCAGUAAACUUUAUUAUGAAAGUAGCAAAUGCGAAACAAGACGAACACGAGGAGCGAUACACAAACAGCCCAGUUUUGAUUGUACUAUUCAGGGCCCAUCAGCAAAUAUUUUUUUUCAGUUUUAUCUCUUCCAUAUCUACAGUGAUUAAUAAAAAUGAAAUUAUGUUUGUAUAGAUUUCAAAAAAUGUCUAUUGAAUUUGUAAUCGACUUUCCAUUUAUAUCUAUUUAUAAAUCAAUAUUUUCCUUUUUCAUUAUGAUUCAUACAGUCACGAUAUUUUUAUUUCUAAAUAUUAUUAUAAUCAGGGCCGGAUUUAGCCGUGGUCUUUAUGGACUAGAGCCCGGGGUGUCGUUCAAUCAAAGGGCCCCCUCCUCACGUUUAAAAAAUAAAAAUAAAACCGUGUGGCAACGUCGAAAUGGGGGUGUUGGAGCACAUUAAAAAACAACUGUGAAGCGCCACCUAAACAAAUAUUUUUGUGUGAAGAAACUCUCGCGAGAAAGAGUUCGAGAAUAAAGGGGUAACUAGGACG